GGCUAGCUCAAUCGGUAGAGCGUGAGACUCUUAAUCUCAAGGUUGUGGGUUCGACCCGUAAGCUU
rnacentral:tRNA from 2 species